GACGAACGCUGGCGGCGUGCUUAACACAUGCCAGUCGAACGGUAAACCCGUGCCUUUCUCUGGUGCUUGAGUGGCGAACGGGUGAGUAACACGUGAGUAACCUGCCCUUGACUCUGGGAUAAGUGCUGGAAACUGCGGCUAAUACCGGAUAGGAGCUCCGACCGCAUGGUCGGGGGUGGAAAGUUUCUGCGGUCUGGGAUGGACUCGCGGCCUAUCAGCUUGUUGGUGGGGUAGUGGCUUACCAAGGCUUUGACGGGUAGCCGGCCUGAGAGGGUGACCGGCCUCGGUGGGAGUGAGGGACCGGCCAGACACGUGAGGGAGCCAGGAGGGGGAAAGCAUGCAGAACGAGAGGAAGCUGGAGGAAGGAAGCCCGCGGGCGGGAGGACGUCGGGUUGGAUGUAGACUGCAGUCGGCUGGGACGGAGCGGGCUUGACGGUACCUGCAAAAGAAGCACCGGCUAACUACGUG
rnacentral:rRNA from 1 species